AACUUUUGACAACGGAUCUCUUGGUNCUCGCAACGAUGAAGAACGCAGCAAAAUGCGAUAAGUAGUGUGAAUUGCAGAAUACGUGAAUCAUCGAAUCUUCGAACGCANAUUGCACUUUUUUAGUUUACUAAAAAAGUAUGUCUGUUUGAGUAUCAGUA
rnacentral:rRNA from 1 species